rnacentral:rRNA from 1 species
UACGGAAGGCAGCAGUGGGGAAUAUUGCACAAUGGGCGAAAGCCUGAUGCAGCGACGCCGCGUGGGGAUGACGGCCUUCGGGUUGUAAACCCCUUUCAGUAGGGAAGAAGCGAAAGUGACGGUACCUGCAGAAGAAGCGCCGGCUAACUACGUGCCAGCAGCCGCGGUAAUACGUAGGGCGCAAGCGUUGUCCGGAAUUAUUGGGCGUAAAGAGCUCGUAGGUGGCUUGUCGCAUCUGCCGUGAAAACCCCGAGGCUCAACCUCGGGCGUGCGGUGGGUACGGGCAGGCUAGAGUGUGGUAGGGGAGACUGGAACUCCUGGUGUAGCGGUGAAAUGCGCAGAUAUCAGGAAGAACACCGAUGGCGAAGGCAGGUCUCUGGGCCAUUACUGACACUGAGGAGCGAAAGCAUGGGUAGCGAACAGGGAUUAGAUACCCGU